rnacentral:tRNA from 1 species
GGGCACUUAGCUCAGUUGGUAGAGCACUCGACUUUUAAUCGAACGGUCGAUGGUUCGAAUCCAUCAGUGCCCACCA